rnacentral:rRNA from 1 species
AGUGAACGCUGGCGGUAGGCCUAACACAUGCAAGUCGAACGGCAGCACAGGAGAGCUUGCUCUCUGGGUGGCGAGUGGCGGACGGGUGAGGAAUACAUCGGAAUCUACUUUUUCGUGGGGGAUAACGUAGGGAAACUUACGCUAAUACCGCAUACGACCUACGGGUGAAAGCAGGGGACCUUCGGGCCUUGCGCGAUUGAAUGAGCCGAUGUCGGAUUAGCUAGUUGGCGGGGUAAAGGCCCACCAAGGCGACGAUCCGUAGCUGGUCUGAGGGGAUGAGCAGCCACACUGGAACUGAGACACGGGCCAGACUCCUACGGGAGGCAGCAGUGGGGAAUAUUGGACAAUGGGCGCAAGCCUGAUCCAGCCAUACCGCGUGGGUGAAGAAGGCCUUCGGGUUGUAAAGCCCUUUUGUUGGGAAAGAAAUCCAGCUGGCUAAUACCCGGUUGGGAUGACGGUACCCAAAGAAUAAGCACCGGCUAACUUCGUGCCAGCAGCCGCCGUAA